AAAGGAAGUGGCCAAUUUUACUGAUACUCCAUUGCAGAUGAAUGCUGAGCUGAAAAAUAAUUUCCAGUAAAAUGCUGCUAUGACUGAUAUGGUGCAAAAAGAAGUAACAAAGUUCAUGCCGAGAAAACUGCCAUAGAUUGAUGUUAACUAAGUUAAUUUUUUCCAUUUUAAUGACUUUGCACGUUCGACUCUCCAUCAUGCUUUCAAUACUACUUAUUUUAUAGAAAAAAGAUCUUGGAUUGUGGAUACU
rnacentral:lncRNA from 1 species